GCCUCGGCCUCCCAAAGUGCUGGGAUUACAGACGUGAGCCACCACGCCUGGCCUAUACAUUGUAUAAUAUAUUUUAAAACUUAUUUAUUCAGUCUCCUGUAAAUAGGCAUUUAAAUCUUCCUAAUUUUUUAUUAUUAUAAACAGUGCUGCAAAGAACAUUCUUAUACAUGUGUCCUUAUGCAUGUGUGAGAGUUUCUGUAAAUAUACAGGGCUGUAGUUUCCAAGAUAUGAACAUUUUAACAUUAGUGGAUAUUGCUCAGUUGCUCUUAAACUUUUAUCAAUGUUGUGAAAAGUUUCUAUUAUUCAACAUCUUCAUUGAUACUCACAUUUUAUGAUAUGAUUUACACUUUGCUCUUUUGAGAGACCAGCUAUUUCAUGCUGAACAGAGAUAUCACAGUCAAAUUGAUGCAUAGGACACAAGCAGUUUUAGAUAUUCUUGUAUACUUUCAGUGAAAACUUUAAAGACAUAUUACUUUGGGGUAGUUCUGCAAAUUUUUGCAGGUCUUUUUGACUGACUUUAUCUUUUUUAUUAGGAGAAAUGAGUCUCUACUUGGACUAAUAAAAGUGAAAUAUAAGGAUAGUGCUUUGAAUAAAAAAGCAAACAAAUCUUUAAAGUUCAAAGCUGCAGUAAUGGAAAUUGGAAGAGUAAGUUUCCUAUGAGUUUUGAAUUUUAGGUAAUGAAAUUAAGAGAUUCAUGUAUCUAGAGAUGAUUGGCUACAUUUAAACUCAUUAUAAUAUGAAACAGAAGGAUAUACUAACAAGCAUAAUUUUAUAAUUACACAAUACAACUUUUAGAUUAACAUGUAGAUAUUGUUAUAAUCAGAUUUUUUUUGUCUACAGGGGUACUUCUGCUGCCUUUGAUAGUAAUUUUAAUUGAGGAUAUAAACUACUGUAUUUCAAUGUCAAGAGAUAAGCAUUAGAGUAUGAAUAAAUUAUACUACUGUGUUCAAAGUUUAAAUUUAACUUGUAACAUUUUAUCUCCUCUAUUAAGAGUGCAGAAAUGCAACAAAGAAUAAGAAGUAAAAAAAAGGAAACUCUAAGAGAUUUCAUUUUUAAAAAUCCGGCUAUUUCUGAAAUGGUGGCACAUGAAAGGUAUUCACUAAUUAAUUAAUUCAAUAAAAGUUUACUUGAGGGUAACUAUGUGUUGGGCAUUAUUUUGGGUACUAGGGAUACACUGGUGGACCAGACAGGUGAAAUCACUGCCUUCAAGGAACUUACAUACUAAUGAAAAAAGCAUAGUAAACAAGUAAACACCUAAAUAAACAAGACAGUUAAAAAUGGUGAUAAAUGUUAUAAAGUAAAUGAACUAAUAUAGAAUAUUUGGCUUGGCAUGAAGGUGGUGGUGGCAAUAGUUUAGAUAGGGUGGUUAGGAGAACAAAUUGGUAAAUUAUCAGUGAACCUAAAGUUCUUGAUUAUAAAAUAUAUUAUGGCAAAAUGUUUAGUUUCUGUUUUUUUAAGUACACAUUAUAAGUACACAUGUGUAAGAAUUUUUUAUUCUUAUACAUUCUUUAUAUAUCUUACCUUCAUUAUCUAAUGUUUUUCUAUACCUGUUUAGUGAUUUUGAUUUUAAUUUACACCGCAUAGAUAUUAAUAGAACCAAUUCCACUUUGUUUUUAUUUGCAUUUGCCUACUAUCUCUUUGAUUAUUCCUUCAUUUUCUUUAUUUAAAUUAUGACAUAUUUUUAGAUAGGUAUAAAAAUAAUAUAACAACUAUGCAACUUAACAUGUAAAACCUUUCAAACACAGUUGAAAUCCCUGUGUACCCGUGUUGGUAUGCAUUUCUGUUUUCCUCUAUCCUGGAAAUAAUACUAUGCCAAAAUUUCGUGUUUAUUAUGCUGAUGAGUGAAUUCAUAUGUCAACCACAUAUGUAUGUAGCCCCAAAUAAUGCAUGCUGUAAUUUUUUUCCAAUUUGCUUUGGAAAUUUGCCUUUUUUCUCUCAAUAUUAUGUUUGUGAUUUUUUGAAAUGUCACUUAUACGUAAGUCUACUUUAUUAAUUUCACUGCUGAA
rnacentral:lncRNA from 1 species